rnacentral:rRNA from 1 species
ACUCAAAUGAAUAGACGGGGGCCCGCACAAGCGGUGGAGUAUGUGGCUUAAUUCGAUGCAACGCGAAGAACCUUACCUAGGCUUGACAUGCAUCGCUAAGUUGGUGAAAGCCAGCGAGCCCCGCAAGGGGCACUUUGCACAGGUGCUGCAUGGCUGUCGUCAGCUCGUGUCGUGAGAUGUUGGGUUAAGUCCCGCAACGAGCGCAACCCUUAUGAACUGUUGCCAUUGGCCUAAAGCCUGGCUCUCUGUUCAGACCGCCCUGUGAAACGGGGAGGAAGGUGGGGAUGACGUCAAGUCAGCAUGGCCCUUACGCCUAGGGCUGCACACGUACUACAAUGCCCAGUACAGAGGGAGCCGAGCCGGCGACGGUAAGGAAAUCCCAAAAAACUGGGCUCAGUUCAGAUUGCAGGCUGCAACUCGCCUGCAUGAAGCUGGAAUCGCUAGUAAUGCCGCAUCAGCUACGGCGGCGUGAAUACGUUCCCGGGCCUUGCACACACCGCCCGU